CAGUCGCCGCGGUAAUACGUAGGUGGCAAGCGUUGUCCGGAAUUAUUGGGCGUAAAGGGCUCGCAGGCGGUUUCUUAAGUCUGAUGUGAAAGCCCCCGGCUCAACCGGGGAGGGUCAUUGGAAACUGGGAAACUUGAGUGCAGAAGAGGAGAGUGGAAUUCCACGCGUAGCGGUGAAAUGCGUAGGGAUGUGGAGGAACACCAGUGGCGAAGGCGACUCUCUGGUCUGUAACUGACGCUGAGGAGCGAAAGCGUGGGGAGCGAACAGGAUUAGAUACCCGCGUAGUCCCUGUCUCUUAUAC
rnacentral:rRNA from 1 species